UGACAGCCGAAACCCAGCCAAGACGACAAAGUGCCAACGCCAUGAUAAGGAGCAGCGUUUGGAUCCAAUUGUGGCACCGCAGCAAUGCGGAACAGCCACGUUGAGGACGUAAUAGCGCAACAGCGCCACCCAGCGCGACUAUAACGCCACUGCAAAGAAACAAGACUGUAUUGAAAAAGUAAAGAGAAGAAGAAGAAAGUACAGAGGGUUGCGAAUGAGCUGGAGCCAAUCCCGGCUGACUUUAGGCAAGAAGUGGAGUACAUCCUAAACUGUUCGCCAGCCAAUCCCAGGGCUCAUAUAGACAGCUAUUCACACUCACAUUCCUACCCUAACAUGCAUGUUUUGGAAUGUGGGAAGAAGCCAUAGUGCACAG